rnacentral:rRNA from 1 species
GAUGAACGCUGGCGGCAUGCUUAAUACAUGCAAGUCGAGCGAGCGGCGGACGGGUGAGUAACACGUGGAAACAUACCUAUAAGACUGGGGUAACUUAGGGAAACCGGAGCUAAUACCGGAGACUUAUAGAUGGAUGCGCUUUGCAUUAGCUAGUUGGUAAGGUAACGGCUUACCAAGGCAACGAUCCAUAGCCGACCUGAGAGGAUGAUCGGCCACACGGGAACUGAGAAACGGUCCAGACUCCUACGGGAGGCAGCAUUGGGGAAUAUUGCACAAUGGGCGCAAGCCUGAUGCAGCCAUGCCGCGUGUAUGAAGAAGGCCUUCGGGUUGUAAAGUACUUUCAGCGAGGAGGCGUUACUCGCAGAAGAAGCACCGGCUAACUCCGUGCCAGCAGCCGCGGUAAUAC